rnacentral:rRNA from 1 species
UACAGAGGGUGCAAGCGUUAAUCGGAGUUACUGGGCGUAAAGGGCGCGUAGGCGGUUAUUUAAGUUGGAUGUGAAAUCCCUGGGCUUAACCUAGGAACUGCAUUCAAUACUGAGUAACUGGAGUACUGUAGAGGGUAGUGGAAUUUCCGGUGUAGCGGUGAAAUGCGUAGAGAUCGGAAGGAACACCAGUGGCGAAGGCGGCUACCUGGACAGAUACUGACGCUGAGGCGCGAGAGCGUGGGGAGCAAACAGG